rnacentral:rRNA from 2 species
UGCAAGUCGAACGAACUCUGGUAUUGAUUGGUGCUUGCAUCAUGAUUUACAUUUGAGUGAGUGGCGAACUGGUGAGUAACACGUGGGAAACCUGCCCAGAAGCGGGGGAUAACACCUGGAAACAGAUGCUAAUACCGCAUAACAACUUGGACCGCAUGGUCCGAGUUUGAAAGAUGGCUUCGGCUAUCACUUUUGGAUGGUCCCGCGGCGUAUUAGCUAGAUGGUGGGGUAACGGCUCACCAUGGCAAUGAUACGUAGCCGACCUGAGAGGGUAAUCGGCCACAUUGGGACUGAGACACGGCCCAAACUCCUACGGGAGGCAGCAGUAGGGAAUCUUCCACAAUGGACGAAAGUCUGAUGGAGCAACGCCGCGUGAGUGAAGAAGGGUUUCGGCUCGUAAAACUCUGUUGUUAAAGAAGAACAUAUCUGAGAGUAACUGUUCAGGUAUUGACGGUAUUUAACCAGAAAGCCACGGCUAACUACGUGCCAG